UUAUGCAUUUACUAGCAGGGUGGACUGCAGCAACGUGAAAUUAAGUGUUUUUCUCAAGAAUACAAUGCAUCACCCAGUCCAGGAAUCGGAACCACAAUGUUACAAUCAUGAGGGCAACACCCUGACCACUAACCUACGCGUCUCUACC